rnacentral:rRNA from 1 species
UCAGAAUAAACGCUGGCGGCGUGCCUAACACAUGCAAGUCGAACGAGAAAGCCCGGCUUCGGUUGGGCGAGUAAAGUGGCGCACGGGUGAGUAACGCGUAGGCAACCUGCCCCCUUGUCCGGGAUAACAGUGCGAAAGCGCUGCUAAUACCGGAUGUGGCCAAGAGGCGGUGGCUCCUUGGCUAAAGUCGGCCUCUCGAAGAAGCUGACGCACGGGGAUGGGCCUGCGUCCUAUCAGCUAGUUGGCAGGGUAACGGCCUACCAAGGCUACGACGGGUAGCUGGUCUGAGAGGAUGAUCAGCCACACUGGCACUGAAACACGGGCCAGACUCCUACGGGAAGGCAGCAGUGAGGAAUUUUGCGCAAUGGCCGCAAGGCUGACGCAGCAACGCCGCGUGGGUGACGAAGGCCUUCGGGUCGUAAAGCCCUGUCGGGUGGGAAGAAUGGCCGGGGAGCCAAUAGUUUUCCGGUUUGACGGUACCACCGAAGGAAGCACCGGCUAACUCCGUGCCAGCAGCCGCGGUAAUACGGAGGGUGCAAGCGUUAUUCGGAAUUACUGGGCGUAAGCGCGUGCAGGCGGGCCGGCAAGUCUGAUGUGAAGCCCCGGGCUCAACCCGGGAAUGCAUUGGAACUG